UACGUAGGGUGCAAGCGUUAAUCGGAAUUACUGGGCGUAAAGCGUGCGCAGGCGGCUAUGCAAGACAGAUGUGAAAUCCCCCGGGCUCAACCUGGGAACUGCAUUUGUGACUGCAUAGCUAGAGUACGGUAGAGGGGGGAUGGAAUUCCACGUGUAGCAGUGAAAUGCGUAGAUAUGUGGAGGAACACCGAUGGCGAAGGCAGCCCCCCUGGGUCAAGACUGACGCUCAUGCACGAAAGCGUGGGGAGCAAACAGG
rnacentral:rRNA from 1 species